rnacentral:rRNA from 1 species
AGAGCGAACGCUGGCGGCAGGCCUAAUACAUGCAAGUCGAGCGGCCACUUCAGUGGCAGCGGCGGACGGGUGAGUAACGCGUGGGAAUGUGCCCUUUGGUACGGAACAACUGAGGGAAACUUCAGCUAAUACCGUAUGCGCCCUUCGGGGGGAAAGAUUUAUUGCCAUUGGAGCAGCCCGCGUUGGAUUAGCUAGUUGGUGGGGUAAAGCCCACAAGGCGACGAUCCAUAGCUGGUCUGAGAGGAUGAUCAGCCACACUGGGACUGAGACACGGCCAGACUCCUACGGGAGGCAGCAGUAGGGAAUCUUGCGCAAUGGGCGAAAGCCUGACGCAGCCGAUGCCGCGUGAAUGAUGAAGGUCUUAGGAUUAGUAAAAUUCUUUACACCGGGAAGAUAAUGACGGUACCGGAGAAGAAGCCCGGCUAACUCGUGCCAGCAGCGC